GACGAACGCUGGCGGCGUGCUUAACACAUGCAAGUCGUACGGUAAGGCCCUUUCGGGGGUACACGAGUGGCGAACGGGUGAGUAACACGUGAGUAACCUGCCCACAACUUUGGGAUAACGCUAGGAAACUGGUGCUAAUACUGGAUAUGUGCUCCUGCUGCAUGGUGGGGGUUGGAAAGCUCCGGCGGUUGUGGAUGGACUCGCGGCCUAUCAGCUUGUUGGUUGGGUAGUGGCCUACCAAGGCGGCGACGGGUAGCCGGCCUGAGAGGGUGACCGGCCACAGUGGGACUGAGAUACGGCCCAGACUCCUACGGGAGGCAGCAGUGGGGAAUAUUGCACAAGGGGCGCAAGCCUGAUGCAGCAACGCCGCGGGCGGGAGGACGGCCUUCGGGUUGUAAACCGCUUUCAGCAGGGACGAAGCUUUUUGUGACGGUACCUGCAGAAGAAGCACCGGCUAACUACGUG
rnacentral:rRNA from 1 species